GCCGGGCCGGGCCGCCGGAGCCCUUUGUGUGCGCGCCGGAGCGGGGAUGGCGCCCGCCGACGCCCGGAGUUGCUUGCCCAGUGUGACACAGAUACUUACAACCCCCAGGUUCUUGUGCAACUGAAGAAAGUGUAAACGCAAAGCGCUCAAGAGAAGGAACUAGUUAGCAGCCGCCAAGAUGGGCAUGAGGAUUAAACUGCACAGCACCGAUCACCCCAACAACUUGCUAAAGGAACUUAACAAAUGCCGGCUGUCAGAAACGAUGUGCGAUGUUACCAUUGUGGUGGGUAACCGUUCUUUUCCUGCGCACAAAGCAGUGCUGGCCUGUGCCGCUGGCUAUUUCCACAACCUCUUCCUCAAUGCAGGGCUGGAUGCUGCCCGCACCUACGUGGUGGAUUUCAUCACUCCAGCCAACUUCGAAAAGAUUCUAAGCUUUGUCUAUACCUCAGAGCUGUUCACAGACCUGAUCAACGUGGGUGUCAUUUAUGAGGUUGCUGAAAAGUUGGGCAUGGGUGAUUUGCUCAAGGCCUGCCAUUCGACCUUCCCUGAUUUGGAAAACUCAGCCGUCACUAAACAGCCCUCCAUCAAAGGUGGAAGCCGGCCGGGUGGUGCCCUGGCGGAAACAAACCAUUCUCUGGGUGAAACCCGGAACAGCGGCGAGCACCUUGGACCCGAGCGGAAUUCCAGUUCGCACGGUGAAGCAGCAGGUGCAUACAAAGAAGACCCUGUGAACGAAGCUAGUCAUCAUUCAAUGCUUCCGCAGACGUCCAAACCCGAAGAACAGGAGUCACCAGCGCAGCUCAGUGGCGCUAUCAGCAUGGUGGCUCAGGCUGGUCUCAGCAGUGUCAACGUGGCUAUGCAAACCGUUGUGAGCUCCUGCCAAUCCUACAAGAUCCAGAGCAAUGGGGAUUAUAGCAAAGGCGGGUUUUUUGCCUCUGAAGCCUCGCUGGAUAUAUCCACGGGCAGUAACUCCUGCCCUAGCAAUAGCGACCACUCCAAGGAUCAGGGCUUCGGGCACAUGGAGGAGUUACAGCUUGAAGACCUGGCCGAAGAUGAGCUGCCGUUUGAAGACCCUGCUGAGGAGCUAGGAGCCACAGAAGAAGUGAUCGAGCUGAGCGAUGACAGCGAGGAGGAGCUGUCUUUCGAAAACGACAGCCGGGAUAGUAAGGCCAUGCCCUGUCAAGUGUGUAAGAAAGUUUUAGAGCCCAACAUACAGCUGAUCCGCCAGCACGCUCGAGACCACGUCGAUCUCCUGACGGGCAACUGUAAAGUCUGCGAGACCCAUUUUCAGGACAGGAACUCGAGAGUCACCCACGUCCUGUCCCACAUUGGGAUAUUCCUUUUCUCCUGUGAUAUGUGUGAGACUAAGUUUUUCACUCAGUGGCAGCUCAACCUCCACCGCCGAGAGGGAGUGUUUGAUAACAACAUCAUCGUUCAUCCCAGUGACCCGUUGAUAGGAAAGGUCAACUUGUUUAGUGGAGACUUGGCCUGUGCUGCCUGUGGGAAGGCACUGGCCAAAGAUUUUCAUAUGGUUCGAGGCCACAUCUUGGAUCACGUGAACUCGAAAGGCCAAGUGUGCGAUUUGUGUGAUCAGCGGCAUCUAAAUCUCUGCAGUCUGAUGUGGCACAUGCUUUCCCACCUGGGCAUCUCUGUUUUUUCUUGCUCUAUUUGUGCCAACAGUUUUGUGGACAGGCACCUUCUGGAGAAGCACAUGGCAGUACACCAAAGCAUGGAGGAAGCCCUGUUUCGGUGUCACUACUGCGGCCAGGCUUUUAAGCUGGAAGCUGCUUAUCGCUACCAUGUAAGCCAGCACAAGUGCAGCACCAGCUUGGACCUCGUGCGGCCCAGUUUUGGGGACCGCCUCCACCAGCAGGCUCUGCAGAAGAGGAAGUUGCCGGAGGAAUUCCUAAGUGAGGACGUGGCUCUCCAGAACCAGCCUGGAAACAGUAAAUACAGCUGCAAAGUAUGCGGGAAAAGGUUUGCCCACACGAGCGAAUUCAACUACCACCGGCGGAUCCACACCGGAGAGAAGCCCUAUCAGUGCAAAGUGUGCCACAAGUUUUUCCGAGGGCGUUCCACCAUCAAGUGCCACCUGAAGACGCACUCGGGGGCCCUCAUGUACAGGUGCACAGUUUGCGGCCACUACAGCUCUACCCUUAACCUUAUGAGCAAGCAUAUAGGGGUGCACAAAGGCAGCCUCCCCCCUGACUUCACCAUCGAACAAACUUUCAUGUACAUCAUCCAUUCCAAAGAGACGGAGAAAAACACAGACAGCUGAUGCGGCAGGAUCGGAGGGGGCGAGCUCUGCCUGCGGUGGCGGCGUAGCUCUCUCCAGCUCAUUACUUUUAAUGGUCAGGCAUCAUCACCAUCGUACUUUAUUUCCUUUUGCCUUGUUAGGGUCCCCCCUCCCCCUUAAAUCUGCUGUCCUGUGAAAACAACACCACGCUAGAUGUGUUAUGGGUCUUGAGAAACCUGUCCGUGUUUACCUCCUGCCGACUCGAUUGCUUGUCGUCUGUUAUCUCGGAAAUAGACUGUUUUUUUCCAUUGGUUGAUUUCCUCCCCCUUCAUGCCCCCCUCUCCAGCCUUUAAUUUGUGUUCACUAAAAGAUUUAUGCUGCUAAGAUAUAUUGAUGCUACACAUCAAUAGAUAGGAAUAGCAGGGGGAGAAGUGAGAUGAAAAGGGAGCGCAGUUUCUGCGCUGCUGCUGGGAGGAGAUAUAUUAGAAAAACUUACCAUGUCACCCUAAACAAGUUAACUUGGAAGCAGAUUCCACUUCAUUUAAUGGCAUGUAGUCCUCACCUGGUAUGUGUGUUGAGGAUACUUAGGUUGCAGUGUUAAGAACGUUUACCCGGGACUACGCACCAUUGAAUAAGAUGGGACUUCGAAAUAAACAUGCAUAGAAUUGCACUGUUUUAGCCUCAGAUUCUGGCUGGAGAAAUUCGUAUUUCUCUUGCUGCGCUGCUGCCAGUGACCACCUCUAUGAGAGUCUCUGUGCAUGAGGCCUCUUGCAGGAGACGCUCAAGUGAAGGGAGAUGCAAUGUUAGCUGGGAAGCGUAAUUUACAAAAGACAGAUUGGACGGCUUUGUCAAUUUCAUCUCUCUAGCGCCUGCAGGGAAUCUCCUCCCAGGGUUGGUUUGCUUCCUCUUUGCUUCCUAGAAGGGUGAAACUGACAGAGACUUCUGGAAGCGAAGAUGAAAUAAACCCACCCUCUGAGCAGUGGGGCUCUAGAGAGGUGAAAUUGACAAAGCCUUUCUGUCCUUGCACCUUCACUUGAGUGUCCUCGUGUAAGGGGUCUUGUGUAGAGAGACUCUUCAUCUCUUGCCAUGAACCGCCCCCCCCCAGAGGUCACCAUAAGUCAGCUAGAGGGCACUCUCCACCACCAAUAUUGCCAAUUUUUUUUAAAACCAAUGCCUACCUUUAUGCCGUGUAGCCUGCAGACACGAGCGUGUGGAAAGCUUCAUUUGGUGAUUUCUGUAGACCAAGCUGCCCUUAGAGGCACAAGAGAAAGCCCGGGGGUUUAUUCGGGUUUCCGCUUGUUUGGCAAUCCAAUCGCACAUUCAGCCUCAGCUUGCCUUUUCCCAUGGAAUAAAUGCAUGAUUUUAUAAGCUCCCACUUUACAGCAAGGGAAACAGAACAAGAAAGGGGACUCUCAAGUGUUUGGGGGAAGGGGGGUAGGGAGAGGAAUGUUCGGCCAGACAUGGAUAGGAGGAGAACAUAGUGUCCUGAGAGUCUUCUUAGCUUAGAUGCUGGGCGUGGUUAGCUGUCCAGUAGACCCUUUCCAAAAAAAAAUGUUCCCAGGGCAUUAAACUGUUGCGUUCCUCUCCUCCUUCACCGGUACUUUUAAUGCUAGUGUAGGAUUCUACCAGUAAGGCAAGUAUCUAAACCCUUCUUGAGAGUGUUUGAUGGAGGAAGUGCCAGGAACCUUCCUUUAAGUAGCAUUUAAAAGAAAUUGUUGCCUUAAGGAAAUGUUUUUAGAAGGAUGAAUCAAAAGUUUAGGGCCUUUCCAGGUGUUUCCCCCCCCCAUAUGCAAUAAAUAACACAGUAAUUUGUUGUGGGUGGAUUCAAAUGUCUUAUAAAAAUAGCACUUUUGUGAGGGAUAUAUUCAGUGCCCAUGUGCGAAUUUUAUUACAGGGAAUGUGUGAUCACUCCCUCCAAAAAGUGCAUCCGUCACAAUCUUGUUACGUGGAAUAUGGCAGAGGUGCAUAUAGGACCGAAGGCAAACAUAAGUUUUGUAGGGCAGUAGGGCUGGUCAUUACAAAGCUUUGAAAGAAUUCUGUGAGGUGUCAGCUAGAGAUCUCUGUGUCCAGGUCUCUCAGUAUUGUUCAUUUAAAAGCAGAAGAGGAGGAAGGAAAAUUUGGACCAGAACUAGACCUCUCAUAGGUAUUAGUCCUUGUAAGGAGAAAAAAAAAGAGCCAAUUCAUCUUUUUCCCUACCAGGGCUAAUAGCCACACGGGGUGGAUGGAUUUCUGUCUGGGAAACAGCACAAUGGGAAAGGGUAAUCAUGACCUCCAUCCCAAUUACAUGUCAUUGGUCCGCUUUUAAAUGAAAUUAAAUAUGGUAUUUAAUAAAGCCCUAAUUUUCCAGCAAAGAAUGGCUGGGACACAGUCGAGACACAUGACCUCCCAAUCCACAAAGCAGUUUUGCAACUUUUAACAUAUUUCCCCUUUCCAAAAAGGCAAACGGCAGUCUUGCUGGUCUCUGCUGUGCCAGUGGACUCAAAUCCUGCUGUUCUGCAGACCAAAACAGCUACUCGCCUCAAAGGUGUCACAGAUGGUCCUUCAUCUGCCUGUGUGGACCCAGCCUCCAACCAGGUGUUCAGGUUGCCACAAAAAAAGACCAAAUCUAACACUGGAUUAACCAUCAGUCGUUCCUUUCUCCCUGGCUGAUUCUGCACAUGUUGGAUAAUGCACUUCCAAUCCUCUUUAGAGAUCAUUUGGAACUGAAUUUUUCAUGUGUGAAACAAAAAAUCCACUUCCAAACAAUUGCUAAAGUGCAUUGAAAGUGCAUUAUCCAAUGUGUGCGGAAUCAUCCUUUGGAUGAGCCAUUUGCCACCCCAUCUAACCAUUUAAAUAGACUAUUUACAUUUAUAAUUUGCAUUUUUGGAAAGGGGAAACAUGUUAAAAUUUGCAAAGCCACUUUGGGGAUUGGGAGGGCGUAUGUCUUAGUGGUGUCCUAGGCACUAACACGAUAUGCCUUCCUUUUGGAGAAUGCUUGGGACAUCUCAACUGGAUAGGAACAUACUCCGCUCCGUCCCAAAGCAAUGUGACCCCUGAAAAGUUUUAUUUAUAAAUUUGGGGUAAAUGUUUUUGGAGGCCGAGUGUUUCUCUGAUGUGCUUAUUUAGCAAAUGGAAAACACUCGCAGAACCUAUAUGUGUCCCCCCCCCCCUUAAGUAGCAGUGCUUGCCAUUUUGUGGGCCACUAGUUCAUUGAAGGCACUUUCAGCUUCUCGUCUAAUACAUGCCUCACUCUUGCCAUCCCCCUGCCCAGUUUUUUUAAAAAAGCAAAUUGCAGAUGCUCUUUCCCCCUUUUCAUUAUAUGAGUGCUGUAGGAGCAUGCCCUGUAAUCGUACUAGGGAGGAGGACAUUGCAAUCAGGAAGUACAAAAUGUUUUUGUUGUCUGAAAAAGGCCCAGAGUCUCUGUCUCCCGUGGCAAUGAUGGCACGCAAAAUGGCCCUGGCUGUGCCCUUGGGGUAAGGUUGGGACUUUUCUGUCUUUACUGUUGUUUUUUUUCAACAGGUACUUGCUGGAGGGAUACAGCUGAGCAGGAAGAAGAUCACAGGACAUAAAUAUCGGCUGAGUUCGCAUUAAGCUCAUGUGGUGUGGUCCUUUUGGACUGUAGUUCAUGGUGCAAACUAGGUUAUUUUCAAGUGCAGUUGUGUAUGAUAAAUCCAGCUUUUGGGGGAGGGCAGGGAAUGGAUGAGAGAGUUGAAUGUUGAUAUAUGUAGCUGCUGGCUAGAAAUCUGCCCCCAGGCAUGACACAAACUACCUCACAAAGAUGAAGCCCCGGAGGCUUCAAAGCCACCUUUGGGUACAAAGAGGCUCCUGUGUUUCAUAUAUCAAAACACUACCGUUAAAGGGGUAGAAAGAAAAGCUGAAAAUCUUGCCCCCGUCCAGGUGAUUCCUGACUUCUGAUAUCAGCUCCUAUACCAAUUCCAGAAAGGCAGUUUUAAGCAGGUUGCUUUGCCUCUCUUUUUACAGAACCUACCUCUAAAGAGUGUUGUGAAGAUAAAUUCUUCUGAUGUUUGUCAAGGAGGAAAAGCACCUCAGGAUGGCAAGCACCAAAUGAGAUACGGUGAGGGGCUGUCUCAAGCGUAUGGCAGACAGGACUACCUUGGAGAAUAAUCCAUGCUGGCGGAGUUCUGUAUUCGUUUUUAAGUGGUGCCUCAGGGCUUAACUGUUAAUAAUUUUACUUCAGCUAUUAAUGUCAGGACCAGACUAGGGUCAUGGGUCACCAUACCUGCCCGUAGACCUGGAGGCACGAACAGAAAGUUUAAGAGUCUGAAGAGCAGCAAGCAAGAGGUACUACUUUGUUGACCAAAAGGCCAGGCUUCUUGCCUGGCAUAUCCACAAUUGCAGGAGCUGAUCUUACCCGACUCGGUACCCUACUUUGCCAGAAGAGGGCGUUGAACAUUACACAGUCCAUAAUAGCUAGGCUUCUGCCUUAGGCUUUGAGGCUUCUGGUUCAGGUACAUUUUUUUUCCAGCUCAAAGAGUGUGUUUGUUGCUGUACAGAUCCAAUUUCUGUUAACAGAAUAAAACUUUUCAUUGGGAAGGGUGGAAAAGGAGCUCUAUUGAGCUUCUUUAAGAACUUUCCUUAGAGCAGAGUUCGAGCGCUGUGUUCCUUCUUGUUCUCCAGUGUUGUAACAAACCUGUCCUGCUGAUAGCCAAGACGAACAUGGGCAGCUUCCGAAACUUUUAAAAGCAUUCUGCAGCUACAAAAAUGUAAAAUGUUGGUGUGGGUAGUUAGAGGGUAAGGAGUCAGAAAAUCAGGGUCCUGUUUCUGCUACUGCUGCUGCUGAGUGUAGCCUUGGCCAAAUAACAUCGUCUGUCUGCCUCAAACCCUCUGACCUGCUCACCCUAAAUCUCUUGGGUGCAGGGAUAUAUACCUACCUCACAGGGGAAGGUUGUGAGGUGUAGUAAAUAUCUGUAAAGUGCUUUGGAACCAUUAGACUUGUAGAAAGACGAAGUAUUGUAAUUAAAUAGCUCUGCUCUGUUUGACAUGCUAUUAUUAGUGAAGAAUCUCUUCCUACACUUGCCAUCACAGAAGGGGAGGGUCUCGGGCAUGGGACAGGUAUUCCCCUCUGCAACAGAACAUUUUGAAAAUAAAAAAAAAUGUUUUGGAGAUAAAUGCUUUAGCAUUAUUUUUUCGUAAACUCAGAACCCCAUGCCCCUCCCCAUCCUUUUCUUCCAAAGAUCCAGAUGUGUUGAAAUGAAACAGAAACACAAACAGAGAAUUGUGAUUUGCUGUCUAAAUCCUUUGGUUAAAUUAAUUGUUAGGUACUGACCUGGUUAUUUAAGUGUUUACUAUCUAUUUGCUGUAAAGUUUGUAUAUUUUGUAAAACUUUUCUCCUUCCUCGAAGGAAAAAAAAAGAGUAGAUGUCUAAAAUCGUUGUACAUCGGAUUCUUUUA